rnacentral:rRNA from 1 species
CCUACGGGUGGCUGCAGUGGGGAAUAUUGCACAAUGGGGGAAACCCUGAUGCAGCAACGCCGCGUGAGUGAUGACGUCCUUCGGGUUGUAAAGCUCUGUCUUCAGGGACGAAAAUGACGGUACCUGAGGAGGAAGCCCCGGCUAACUACGUGCCAGCAGCCGCGGUAAUACGUAGGGGGCGAGCGUUGUCCGGAUUUACUGGGCGUAAAGGGAGCGUAGGCGGACUUUUAAGUAAGGUGUGAAAUGCCCGGGCUCAACCUGAGUGCUGCUUUUGAAACUGGGAGUCUAGAGUGCAGGAGAGGUGAGUGGAAUUCCUAGUGUAGCGGUGAAAUGCGGAGAGAUUAGGAGGAACACCAGUGGCGAAGGCGAUUCACUGGACUGUAACUGACGUUGAGGCUCGAAAGCGUGGGGAGCAAACAGGAUUAGAUACCCUGGUAGUC